UACGUAGGGUGCGAGCGUUGUCCGGAAUUAUUGGGCGUAAAGAGCUUGUAGGCGGUUGUCGCGUCUGCUGUGAAAAUCCGGGCUCAACCCGGACUUGCAGUGGGUACGGGCAGACUAGAGUGUGGUAGGGGAGACUGGAAAUUCCUGGUGUAGCGGUGAAAUGCGCAGAUAUCAGGAGGAACACCGAUGGCGAAGGCAGCUCGCUGGACGUUACUGACACUGAGGCGCGAAAGCGUGGGAGCGAACAGGAUAGAUACCC
rnacentral:rRNA from 1 species